UACAUCUUCAUCCAAAACUUAUGUAUAAUCACAAACCCUAACAACCAUCCUAUAUUUUCCAGAGACUAGUAAAACUAUAAAACAGUAAAAAAAGACUUAUUUUCUCCCUUCUUUUUGCAUCUUGGUCCUCUGACUGUCCACCGUCCAGUUUCCCAGUCCUUCAACCUUGCUCGUCUUAUUGUCCAACUUUCCCAACAUUUGCACUUCUUUUUCCUAUAUUGGCUCGGCUUCUAUGUACAAUACUAGAAAGCUAAGUGGGGUAGUUUUUUUUUUUUUUUUUUUUGGCUCCAAACAAGGCCUUUUGGUGAAAAAGCUCUGGUAAUUGGAGGGGCAUUGUGAAAACUACUUUGUAUAACUGGGGCAUUAGGGUAAUAAACUACAAAUACAGGGCUUCAUCUUAAUAUUCUAUAAUUAGUCCUCCCAUAGGUGCUCUGUGGGGAAUGCCCUUCCUCCUCUUGGCCGUUCUGUAAUUAGCAGAAGUUGGGGGUGGUGUUGAGGGUGUGAAGCUCUGGACCUUGUUGCUGCUUUUGGAUCUUCCAUGGCUGC
rnacentral:lncRNA from 1 species